rnacentral:rRNA from 1 species
GGAGGAGGCAAGCGUUGUCCGGAAUCAUUGGGCGUAAAGAGCGCGUAGGCUGUUUUUCAAGUCAUAUGUGAAAACCUCAGGCUCAACUUGAGGACUGCAUAUGAAACUGAAUAACUUGAGUGCAGUAGGGGAAAGUGGAAUUCCUGGUGUAGCGGUGAAAUGCGCAGAUAUCAGGAAGAACACCGGUAGCGAAGGCGGCUUUCUGGGCUGCUACUGACGCUGAGGCGCGAAAGCUAGGGGAGCAAACAGGAUUAGAUACCCUGGUAGUCCUAGCUGUAAACGAUGGACACUAGGUGUGGGAAGUUAUCGACGCUUUCCGUGCCGGAGCUAACGCAUUAAGUGUCCCCGCCUGGGGAGUACGGCCGCAAGGCUA